rnacentral:rRNA from 1 species
UACGGGGGGGGUAAGCGUUGUUCGGAAUUACUGGGCGUAAAGGGCUCGUAGGCGGCCAACUAAGUCAGACGUGAAAUCCCUCAGCUUAACUGGGGAACUGCGUCUGAUACUGGAUGGCUUGGAUUCGGGAGAGGAAUGCGGAAUUCCAGGUGUAGCGGUGAAAUGCGUAGAUAUCGGAAGGAACAUCAGUGGCGAAAGCGGCUUCCUGGACCAGUACCGACGUUCAGGCACGAAAGCGUGGGGAGCAAACAGG